UAGGGAAUCUUCCACAAUGGACGAAAGUCUGAUGGAGCAACGCCGCGUGAGUGAAGAAGGUUUUCGGAUCGUAAAGCUCUGUUGUUGGUGAAGAGGAUAGAGGCAGUAACUGGUCUCUAUUUGACGGUAAUCAACCAGAAAGUCACGGCUAACUACGUGCCAG
rnacentral:rRNA from 1 species